rnacentral:rRNA from 1 species
AGAGAGAGACAUGCGCGCAUAUCAAUAAGCGGAGGAAAAGAAACUAACAAGGAUUCCCUUAGUAACGGCGAGUGAAGCGGGAAGAGCUCAAAUUUGAAAUCUUCAAGGUUCUACCUUGACGAAUUGUAGUUUAUAGAAGUGUUUUCUGUUAGUGGAGUGGCAAAAGUUCUUUGGAAUAGGACAUCAUAGAGGGUGAGAAUCCCGUAUUUGGUCAUUCCUCCUAGCGUUGUGAUACACUUUCAACGAGUCGGAUUGUUUGGGAAUGCAGUCCAAAAUGGGUGGUAAAUUUCAUCUAAAGCUAAAUAUUGGCGAGAGACCGAUAGCGAACAAGUACCGUGAGGGAAAGAUGAAAAGAACUUUGAAAGGAGAGUUAAACAGUACGUGAAAUUGUCAAAAGGGAAGCGUUUGACACCAGUGUUGUUUUUCCGAAAAUCAAUUACGAAUGUUUUAUUUUUGAGGAGUUAUGACUUCAUCGGCUUGCUCCUUUCUUUAUGAAACUUUCUUAAUGCACUUUACGGUUAACAAGUCAACAUCAAUUUCUUUUGUUGUAAAAGGGUAUGAGGAAGGUGGCUUUCUUUUCGGAGAAAGUGUUUAUAGCCUUGUGCCUCUGCAAUCGGAGAGAUUGAGGUCUGCAGCGUAGAUCCCUUCGGGGUUAGAUACGUUUGUGCUAAGUUAUAGCUUUUCAUAGACAACUUGUUGACUAUGUUUAGUCUUGUAGCUUACUCGCUUACUGCUAUUUUACCUACGCUUAGGAUGUUGAUAGUCACAGCGUGUAC